CGCAUCAAAUAUUUUUGAAUAAAUGUACUUAAACUUCGAAAGAAUUGAAUGAUGAAAUCCAUAGUUUAAAACUAGAAACCUAUGAAACGAAAUCCUAGUUUUUAUCAGUGGUAUACUUGUAGCAAGGGCUUAAAAGGCUCUUCGGAAAGUUUCCUAUAGAAGUUUCUCUUUACAUCCUAAGCCUUUUCCUACAAUCACAUAAGUACAAUACUGUCCUAUCCCCCCUUUCCGUUGUUAUGUGUACUUUCUCUUUGUCACUUAAUCACCUAACUUAACUAACAUUUUUAAACAAUAAAUGAUACAAGAAUUAAUAUGAUUAUAAUCCACUACUGGCUCCAGUUCCAUGAUUUGAAACAUAUUUUGCUGUCCACACUUUAGUAAAACUCGAUGAUAAGGAACUAUUUUUCAAAAAGUAGGAAGGGUAUUGAGUCUUUGGCUAUACGUACUUGAGUGACUUUUCCCCUCCAGAACUUUCUACAUAACUAACAUUCCGGCAGAAAAAAGUUAGUAAUUUUAAUUAUGAAUACAGAGGGCUUAGGACGUUAUGUCAAAACGUUUUGGCUCCUCAUCACGUCACCACAAUCCAUGUCGCCACGUCUGGUCAUGCACUGUCUGACGACCAUGAAUCUUGACAAUAGCCCUGCAGCGUAGUAUCAGUUGCAAAAGACUUCAUCGUGAGACUGUCAUGUCCAAAGCACACAACUCCCUGUUUUCUGGCUUUCCAUACUCUUUCUUGUUUACGAGGACGACGGUUUCCGAGCGCCUGUUUCAACAGUCCGCUCGCUCAGAAACCCAUUCGUAUUGCGUUUGUCGAUUUCACCUGUAUGUCUCCAGCUGCUUGAUGUAUGUGGAAACUGGAAUGAUAUAUCAUAGAAGAACUCGUGUAUACUUGACAUGUGUCACUUUUACAAACUGAGAUCCAUCUUGAUGACGUGGUUGGCUUUUGCCACUGGCCUUUGCGUUUGUUGAUACUCACCUGUCACAAGUUGCUGCAUGUUGCUUAUCACAGCUGGGGUAAGACUUGUUACAGGUUUUUUAUAUAAGGUCCUGUACCCCAAGUUGAUCCAUAUUCUUUUAUUUUCAGAUUCCAUUAAGUACAUACACGGAAUAUUCCCGUUGUGAAAAUUCUAUGUCCAGAGCUUGAGACAUCUUCAUGGUGUGAGUGUAUGGAUAUUGAUAUUUUGCAUCAGAAAGCGCUAUUACAUAGCCUUUCCAGAAGCGAUCAAUUUUUGGUGGCAUCACGCUACCUACCAACGCAACGUCAAACAAAGUCAGAAUGUGGUUCUGAUACAUAUCGUUCGUUCCAUCGUGACUUUAUAUUAGCUGUAGUUGUCAUGUGAUUUGCUCAUUCAUUUGCAUAUUCGAAAUCGUUUUAAUAUAAUGAGUUUAACUCUGUAAUACUACUACGUUUUAAAGGCAACACAUAUGAAUAAUGGCAGAAUUUCAACCCUUGUCCCCAAAUACUUUCAUGAUUUCACUCUAGUGAUGAGCUUAAAUAUAUUUCACCCAAAUGUUUAAAGUUUUUUCAAGAAAUUCGACAUGUAUGUGUUAGUGUAUGAACCAUGAAUAAUUGUCAUUCGUGUUGAAUAUUUCAAGUUCAAGUAAAAUGUAUUGUAAAUAAUAAAUAUGGGUGCACAUAGAGUAACCAUAGAUUUAAAUCGUACUAGCUGUGCUUAUUUAAAGCGAUAGAGAUAUAACGUUACAAGUAGUAUUUAUCUCUCUAGCUACCUAUAGAAAUUGAAUAUUUGUAAAGACUUUGAUCAUAAUCAUUCAUUUCUCAACUUUCGAAAAGUAUUGUGGCACAACGGUAUGUUUACGGACUUACAACGCUAGGAACCGGAUUUCGAUACCCGUGGUAGGCAGAGCUCAGAUAUCCCAUUGUGUAUCUUUGUGCUUAAUUAUAACCAGCCAAACAACAACCAACCAAAAAGUAUUAAAGCUUAUCGAGAGAAAGCAAUCACUUCUCAGACCAGCGUCCUCAUAAAACCAUAACUCCACCCUCACAGACCCAUGAAGAGCUUGAUCUGAUCAGAUGACACUUCCGUAACCCCAUCCCUAGAGCGUGUAGAUAAUUUCUAGACGUUGUUGUUAUGGUUUACUGUGUGCGUGCAGCUGUCUAACCAAGCACCCGUGAUGCAGGUGUGUGUGUGCAUAAAAAAAAUUUAACAUCGUGUGUUGAUUUUUGAUAUAUAAACGUGACGUAAUCUCGGAUCAGGUCAGCGCUUGACCAUUUACUUCGUUAUAUAGUAUUAUAUGAUAACGUGCUAUUUCAGUUAACAGUCACAGAAAUCGAACACGUGUAAUAAGGAAAAUACCAGGGAUGUUAUAAGAAUAUCCACCUACGGCUUCUUCAGAAAUAUUGGUACCAAGGCGCUGGAAAAAUAAAACUGAUAGUAUUUAACUUUUGCGCGUUGAACAGAGACUUGUAUGGUUUGUGUUAAGCGUAGAGUUGUUGAGGUUAAAUGGAAAUGUACUGAAAGCGGAUGACGGGGUGGUGCUCACGUGAUGUUUACGUGAACAAUUUCCUUCUCGAUCGUAAGGCUAGAUGGACUUGCUUGUCCAUUUCCUUACUUGAAACCUGCUAAGUCAACUAUCGCUAUUUAGGUUUUUGCAGAGAAAGGUUUCAAGAUUCUUCUCUCGAAUUCGAAGAACCCAAUGUCCAACCUGGACAACAGACGGCGAAUUCACAUAAUUUCUUUUUAAUUUCCUUUUCUUAUUCCAAGGACGAAUCUUCAAAUCGAUUUUACUUCUCUUCUCCUUAUUGGCGAGAAAAUCUUGUGCGCGAUAGGACAACGCUCGAGCUAAAGUUGUGAGACACAGUAUUCAAGAGCGCGAGCCUGGAGACUAUCGUAUUGUUGCCGCAACAGUGGGGGUACAGAAGCUACAGUAGGAAUUUCACUCCACAGCAAGAACCCUUCAACCCUCGAUUCUUUAAAAUCUCGUGGUUAAAGUAAAGAAAAGUCUGAAUUAUAAGAUGUAGCAAAUUUUGUACUAAAAGUCAGGAAAAUUUCGAUCGUCAUCACUGAAGAAGAUAUAGACAACUGCAAUACGAUGCCAGACUCUGUGGACAACACUGAAAAACAGGCGACAUCUGGCGUUAGCGUACAGGUGAUGAACGAGAAACUGCACUCUGCACAAGGUAAAAGAAAACGUUCGCUAUCAAACGCCGAAUAAAAAGAACACUGGAGUGUUUAAACUCACAAAAUACUCUUUAAAAGUUUAAAUUAGUAGAACCACAAUAUCAGUAGAACAAAAACGUGUUACUGUACUUAUUAAAGUACUCAUUCUCAGUAUGGUACAGAAUCGAGAUAA